GAGCAGCUUCUCUAGAGGAGCAGCCGCGAGCGGUGCAGCCGCCGCCAGCUGUGACGAAUGAGAGCGAAGAUCUUAUCGCCAGAAGGAAGUGCUCUGCUGCUCUUCUCCGAAGCCACCGCGCUUAGCAGAAGAUGUGCCUGGAGCUUAUGGGCAAGGAAAAAAACAAAAGAGUUGCCCUUCUGCAAGUCAAGACACUCAGUAAACCCCUGAAGGGGAAGAUCACUGGAGGAUCCAUCCUAUGCUGUUGUGAAGGCUGGAGGGAUUGAGGAACUGUGUGAGCAUGCUAAUUUAGAAUUACUUCUCUCAUUCAAACUAAAUAAUUCCUGCCGUUAGUUUCACUGUGCGACCUCCUAGUCUUUGUUUUAUGGAACAGAGUAAAAAAAGAGGGACUGAUCCAUUUUCAUUGUCCUCUUACCUGGCUUAAACAAAGGGCCUGAAAUUCUUUUUCAUUCUGUGAGGUGACAAACCCUUUUGCCCAAUCAGGCAGAAAAUCUGCGAGUCUAAACUCACUGCAUUUCCUGUCUCUUACA